rnacentral:rRNA from 1 species
ACACGAAGUCGGAAUCGCUAGUAAUCGCGGAUCAGCAUGCCGCGGUGAAUACGUUCCCGGGCCUUGUACACACCGCCCGUCACACCAUGGGAGUCGGAAAUGCCCGAAGCCGGUGACCCAACCAAAAGGAGGGAGCCGUCGAAGGCAGGUCUGAUAACUGGGGUGAAGUCGUAACAAGGUAUC